UAAGGGCGCACGGUGGAUGCCUUGGCACUAGAAGCCGAUGAAGGACGUUACUAACGACGAUAUGCUUUGGGGAGCUGUAAGUAAGCUUUGAUCCAGAGAUUUCCGAAUGGGGAAACCCAGCAUGAGUUAUGUCAUGUUAUCGAUAUGUGAAUACAUAGCAUAUCAGAAGGCACACCCGGAGAACUGAAACAUCUUAGUACCCGGAGGAAGAGAAAGAAAAUUCGAUUCCCUUAGUAGCGGCGAGCGAAACGGGAAGAGCCCAAACCAACAAGCUUGCUUGUUGGGGUUGUAGGACACUCUAUACGGAGUUACAAAGGACGACAUUAGACGAAUCAUCUGGAAAGAUGAAUCAAAGAAGGUAAUAAUCCUGUAGUCGAAAAUGUUGUCUCUCUUGAGUGGAUCCUGAGUACGACGGAGCACGUGAAAUUCCGUCGGAAUCUGGGAGGACCAUCUCCUAAGGCUAAAUACUCUCUAGUGACCGAUAGUGAACCAGUACCGUGAGGGAAAGGUGAAAAGCACCCCGGAAGGGGAGUGAAAUAGAACCUGAAACCGUGUGCUUACAAGUAGUCAGAGCCCGUUAAUGGGUGAUGGCGUGCCUUUUGUAGAAUGAACCGGCGAGUUACGAUUUGAUGCAAGGUUAAGCAGUAAAUGUGGAGCCGUAGCGAAAGCGAGUCUGAAUAGGGCGUUUAGUAUUUGGUCGUAGACCCGAAACCAGGUGAUCUACCCUUGGUCAGGUUGAAGUUCAGGUAACACUGAAUGGAGGACCGAACCGACUUACGUUGAAAAGUGAGCGGAUGAACUGAGGGUAGCGGAGAAAUUCCAAUCGAACCUGGAGAUAGCUGGUUCUCUCCGAAAUAGCUUUAGGGCUAGCCUCAAGUGAUGAUUAUUGGAGGUAGAGCACUGUUUGGACGAGGGGCCCCUCUCGGGUUACCGAAUUCAGACAAACUCCGAAUGCCAAUUAAUUUAACUUGGGAGUCAGAACAUGGGUGAUAAGGUCCGUGUUCGAAAGGGAAACAGCCCAGACCACCAGCUAAGGUCCCAAAAUAUAUGUUAAGUGGAAAAGGAUGUGGCGUUGCCCAGACAACUAGGAUGUUGGCUUAGAAGCAGCCAUCAUUUAAAGAGUGCGUAAUAGCUCACUAGUCGAGUGACACUGCGCCGAAAAUGUACCGGGGCUAAACAUAUUACCGAAGCUGUGGAUUGUCCUUUGGACAAUGGUAGGAGAGCGUUCUAAGGGCGUUG
rnacentral:rRNA from 1 species